rnacentral:SRP_RNA from 1 species
UGGCCGGGCCCGUACGACUGGGGCUUGCGAACCCCGCCAGGCCCGGAAGGGAGCAACGGUAGCAAUAACCUCCGUGCGUUACGGAUACCUGGUCGCUG